UGCAUGUCUCAGUACACGCCAUAUUAAGGUGAAACCGCGAAUGGCUCAUUAAAUCAGUUAUGGUUCCUUAGAUCGUACCAACAUUUACUUGGAUAACUGUGGUAAUUCUAGAGCUAAUACAUGCAAACCAGAGUUCCGACCAGAGAUGGGAGGAAUGCUUUUAUUAGAUCAAAACCAAUCGGUGGCGGGUUAAAGCUCGUCCACCGUUUCAUUUGGUGACUCUGAAUAACUUUGUGCUGAUCGCAUGGUCUCGUACCGGCGACGAAUCUUUCAAAUGUCUGCCUUAUCAACUGUCGAUGGUAGGCUCUGUGCCUACCAUGGUAAUAACGGGUAACGGGGAAUCAGGGUUCGAUUCCGGAGAGGGAGCCUGAGAAACGGCUACCACAUCCAAGGAAGGCAGCAGGCGCGCAAAUUACCCACUCCCGGCACGGGGAGGUAGUGACGAAAAAUAACGAUACGGGACUCAUCCGAGGCCCCGUAAUCGGAAUGAGUACACUUUAAAUCCUUUAACGAGGAUCCAUUGGAGGGCAAGUCUGGUGCCAGCAGCCGCGGUAAUUCCAGCUCCAAUAGCGUAUAUUAAAGUUGUUGCGGUUAAAAAGCUCGUAGUUGAAUCUGUGUGCUACGCUGUCGGUUCACCGCUCGCGGUGUCUAACUGAUACGCUCGUGGCACGUCCUACCGGUGGGCUUAGCUCCCGUGGUUGCGCAAGCGGCUGCGGGGCGCGGCCCUGUUUGAAUCCCAUCGCGGUGCUCUUUACCGAGUGUCGAGGUGGGCCGGUACGUUUACUUUGAACAAAUUAGAGUGCUUAAAGCAGGCUACUCUCGCCUGAAUACUGUGUGCAUGGAAUAAUGGAAUAGGACCUCGGUUCUAUUUUGUUGGUUUUCGGAACACCGAGGUAAUGAUUAAUAGGGACAGAUGGGGGCAUUCGUAUUGCGACGUUAGAGGUGAAAUUCUUGGAUCGUCGCAAGACGGACAGAAGCGAAAGCAUUUGCCAAAAAUGUUUUCAUUAAUCAAGAACGAAAGUUAGAGGUUCGAAGGCGAUCAGAUACCGCCCUAGUUCUAACCAUAAACGAUGCCAGCUAGCGAUCCGCCGAAGUUCCUCCGAUGACUCGGCGGGCAGCUUCCGGGAAACCAAAGCUUUUGGGUUCCGGGGGAAGUAUGGUUGCAAAGCUGAAACUUAAAGGAAUUGACGGAAGGGCACCACCAGGAGUGGAGCCUGCGGCUUAAUUUGACUCAACACGGGAAACCUCACCAGGCCCGGACACCGGAAGGAUUGACAGAUUGAUAGCUCUUUCUUGAUUCGGUGGGUGGUGGUGCAUGGCCG
rnacentral:rRNA from 1 species